rnacentral:rRNA from 1 species
CUGCUGCCUUCCGUAGGAGUCUGGGCCGUAUCUCAGUCCCAAUGUGGCCGGCCAACCUCUCAGUCCGGCUACUGAUCGUCGCCUUGGUGGGCCGUUACCUCACCAACUAGCUAAUCAGACGCGAGGCCAUCUUCCAGCGAUAAAUCUUUGACAUCAGUGCCAUGCGACACCAAUGCGUCAUGCGGUAUUAGCAGUCGUUUCCAACUGUUGUCCCCCCUNUGGAAGGCAGGUUCCUCACG